AUUGAACGCUGGCGGAAUGCUUUACACAUGCAAGUCGAACGGUAGAGGGGGCAACCCCUCGAGAGUGGCGAACGGGUGAGUAAUAUAUCGGAACGUGCCCAGUCGUGGAGGAUAACGUAGCGAAAGUUACGCUAAUACCGCAUACGAUCUAAGGAUGAAAGCGGGGGAUCGCAAGACCUCGCGCGAUUGGAGCGGCCGAUAUCAGAUUAGGUAGUUGGUGGGGUAAAGGCUCACCAAGCCAACGAUCUGUAGCUGGUCUGAGAGGACGACCAGCCACACUGGAACUGAGACACGGUCCAGACUCCUACGGGAGGCAGCAGUGGGGAAUUUUGGACAAUGGACGCAAGUCUGAUCCAGCCAUUCCGCGUGCAGGGUGAAGGCCCUCGGGUUGUAAACUGCUUUUGUACGGAACGAAAAGGUCUCUCUUAAUACGGGGGACUCAUGACGGUACCGUAAGAAUAAGCACCGGCUAACUACGUGCCAGCCGCCGCAGUAAGAC
rnacentral:rRNA from 1 species